GAAUCUGGUUUCAUACAAGUUCUACUGAAAUAGAUUCUUAUGCAUAGUGGACUAAAACGUAAUUUUACUUAGAUAUUUUCUAAUUAUUACGUUUCGUAAAUAUGAUUUAUCAUAUGACUUUCUUUUUCUUCAUUUUAGUGCGUUCUAAUAACUUCGUAACAUUGACAUACAAUUUUUUUUCACGUAAUGGUCAUUCGAGACGUUAAAAAUACCAAAAAAAAAAAACACGAGACUCUAUAUGGUUAUAUGCAAGGGAUGAGAUUUAAAAUAUUGAUUUAAAUUACUAAUAUAUUAGGAUGUGGUUGGUGUACUAGAUGACAAAAGAAUACAUAGAAUAAAGAAUUAUUUGUUACAAUUAAACUAGCCAAGUUUCGAAAGACAUAAAUAACAUAACUACAUACCUUAUAUCACUAUAUCAUAUAUUGUUAUUGUAUGUAUUCAUGAUAGUAAAAAAAUAAGAUAAUAAGUAUAUAAAUAUUCAUAUUACAGUAAAA
rnacentral:sRNA from 1 species